rnacentral:misc_RNA from 1 species
UUGUUCCUCUCAAAGUAAUGUACAUUUCGGCAAAGAAAAAUGAAUAUUUUAUAGAACUUAUAUAAUAAAUUAUGCUGCUUUAUUAUUUUUAGGAAAUUGUGGGAUGCUUUGACUGGGGAUGAAUUACACUCUUUUGAGCAUAAGCACAUUGUUAGGGCUUGUGCCUUUUCAGAGGUAUUAUAAAAUUUUCCUGUUUCAUGUGUCUAGUUGAAUGCUAUUCUCUUAACUUCAAUACAGGAAACAUUUUGUCAUCAGCAUAAAAGUAAAGGUUUUCUUUUAUAUGCAUUCUUCAUUUGCUUUCAGUGACGAAGUUAUUUAACCUAGGCGUAAAGUUGAAGUAAUGGGAGUCAUCAAAUGAUGGUACCAAUUUAAGAAAUUUUUUCUACCAAAAUUCAGAAUGAUUGGAAGAGUUAUGACCACAUUUUAUGCUUCUAACUGUUUCGAAAUGCCUUCAGCGAAUCUGAAGUUCUGUCAAUGAUUUAGUAGAAUCAAAUGGCUAAAAUUAUUUUAGUUUCAUGAUUUUGAUUUCUAAGUUUAAUUGAAAAUUAUAUGGAAAAUUCUGAUUCUUUAAAAAUACGAAAUAUAUUGGGUCUUCUUGCAUCACACACUCUAGAGUCCAGAGCUUGUCUGGAUUUUUCUUUUGUUUAGAUCUGUCUUGUUUGCUACUUCUAAAAGAUCUAAAUUUUAUGUGACUAUUCUUGUAAGUGGGUAUAAGUUUGACUUUGGAGUCUUUCAAUGUCCCUAUGUACCUCCCUCAAUUCAAGUUUUCAAAACCUGGGAAAAUAUUUUUCUUUUGUGCUUUGUUUAUGCAUUGGAAUUUGGAAUUUCUCUUUUCUUUCAUAAUGUUUUUGUUGAGUAUGAUUGAUUUUGUUUUGUACAGCAUUAUUAGCUGGUCCCAGAUUUAUGAAUUUGAGUCUUUUAUAUUAUUUUUGCUAUGCAUGUAAUCACAUGGUGAUUCACUGAAUAUUUAUGUUGUGAAUUGUGAUUGUGGAAUUCCUCUAUUCUUUCAUGGGUGAAAAAUAUGUAUAUGUCUCAUUGCUUUAUCCCUUAGCCUUAGUUUAUGCACAGUGUCUAAGCUAUUCUUUGUGCAGGAUACACAUCUUCUACUUACCGGCGG